UACGUAGGUAGCGAGCGUUACUCGGAUUUACUAGGUGUAAAGGGCAGGUAGGUGGUUGGAUAAGUUGAGAGUAAAAGCCCCGACGAAAUCGGGGACGUCUCUCAAUACUGUUCGACUUGAGUGUGGUAUGGGGGACCAGAAUUCCAGGUGUAGCGGUGAAAUGCGUAGAUAUCUGGAGGAAUACCGAUGGCUAAAGCGGGUCCCUGAGCCAUUACUGACACUGAGCUGCGAAAGCGUGGGGAGCA
rnacentral:rRNA from 1 species